rnacentral:rRNA from 1 species
UACAGAGGAUGCAAGCGUUAUCCGGAAUGAUUGGGCGUAAAGCGUCUGUAGGUGGCUUUUUAAGUCUGCCGUCAAAUCCCAGGGCUUAACCCUGGACAGGCGGUGGAAACUACCAAGCUGGAGUACGGUAGGGGCAGAGGGAAUUUCCGGUGGAGCGGUGAAAUGCGUAGAGAUCGGAAAGAACACCAACGGCGAAGGCAAUCUGCUGGGCCGACACUGACACUGAGAGACGAAAGCUAGGGGAGCAAAUGGG